rnacentral:snRNA from 1 species
AGCUUUGCGCAGUGGCAGUAUCGUAGCCAAUGAGGUUUAUCGGAGGCGCGAUUAUUGCUAAUUGAAAAAGAAAUCAGUCACU